rnacentral:rRNA from 1 species
GAUGAACGCUGGCGGCGUGCCUAAUACAUGCAAGUCGAGCGAAGUUGCGAACGGGUGAGUAACGCGUAGGUAACUACCUAUUAGAGGGGGAUAACUAUUGGAAACGAUAGCUAAUACCGCAUACUAGUAGAUGGGCCUGCGUUGUAUUAGCUAGUAGGUAGGGUAAUGGCCUACCUAGGCGACGAUACCUAGCCGACCUGAGAGGGGGAGCGGCCACACUGGGACUGGGACAGGGCCCAGACCCCUACGGGAGGGAGCAGUAGGGGAUCGUCGGCAAUGGGGGGAACCCUGACCGAGCAACGCCGCGUGAGUGAAGAAGGUUUUCGGAUCGUAAAGCUCUGUUGUUAAGGAAGCGGUACUUAACCAGAAAGGGACGGCUAACUACGUGCCAGCAGCCGCGGUAAUUC